GGAGAAGCAGCAUAAUGGAAAAAGCACUGGCUUGGGAGUCAGAAGACCUGGAUUCUAAUCCCAGCUCUACCA
rnacentral:tRNA from 1 species